rnacentral:rRNA from 1 species
CCAGACUCCUACGGGAGGCAGCAGUGGGGAAUAUUGGACAAUGGGGGGAACCCUGAUCCAGCGACGCCGCGUGAGUGAAGAAGUAUUUCGGUAUGUAAAGCUCUAUCAGCAGGGAAGAAAGAAAUGACGGUACCUGACUAAGAAGCCCCGGCUAACUACGUGCCAGCAGCCGCGGUAAUACGUAGGGGGCAAGCGUUAUCCGGAUUUACUGGGUGUAAAGGGAGCGUAGACGGCAGUGCAAGUCUGAAGUGAAAGGCGGGGGCCCAACCCCCGGACUGCUUUGGAAACUGUGCUGCUGGAGUGCAGGAGAGGCAAGUGGAAUUCCUAGUGUAGCGGUGAAAUGCGUAGAUAUUAGGAGGAACACCGGCGGCGAAGGCGGCCUGCUGGACCGUAACUGACGUUGAGGCUCGAAAGCGUGGGGAGCAAACAGGAUUAGAUACCCCAGUAGUA